rnacentral:rRNA from 1 species
UCCGGUUGAUCCCGCCGGACCUGACUGCUAUCGGAUUGAUACUAAGCCAUGCGAGUCAUUGUAGCAAUACAAGGCAUACGGCUCAGUAACGCGUAGUCAACCUAACCUAUGGACGGGAAUAACCUCGGGAAACUGAGAAUAAUGCCCGAUAGAACAUUAUGCCUGGAAUGGCUUAUGUUCCAAAUGAUUUAUCGCCGUAGGAUGGGACUGCGGCCUAUCAGUUUGUUGGUGAGGUAAUGGCCCACCAAGACUAUUACAGGUACGGGCUCUGAGAGGAGUAGCCCGGAGAUGGGUACUGAGACACGGACCCAGGCCCUAUGGGGCGCAGCAGGCGAGAAAACUUUGCAAUGUGCGAAAGCACGACAAGGUUAAUCCGAGUGAUUUGUGCUAAACGAAUCUUUUGUUAGUCCUAGAAACACUAACGAAUAAGGGGUGGGCAAGUUCUGGUGUCAGCCGCCGCGGUAAAACCAGCACCUCAAGUGGUCAGGAUGAUUAUUGGGCCUAAAGCAUCCGUAGCCGGCUCUGUAAGUUUUCGGUUAAAUCUGUACGCUCAACGUACAGGCUGCCGGGAAUACUGCAGAGCUAGGGAGUGGGAGAAGUAGACGGUACUCGGUAGGAAGUGGUAAAAUGCUUUGAUCUAUCGAUGACCACCUGUGGCGAAGGCGGUCUACUAGAACACGUCCGACGGUGAGGGAUGAAAGCUGGGGGAGCAAACCGGAUUAGAUACCCGGGUAGUCCCAGCUGUAAACUAUGCAAACUCAGUGAUGCAUUGGCUUGUGGCCAAUGCAGUGCUGCAGGGAAGCCGUUAAGUUUGCCGCCUGGGAAGUACGUACGCAAGUAUGAAACUUAAAGGAAUUGGCGGGGGAGCACCACAAGGGGUGAAGCCUGCGGUUCAAUUGGAUUCAACGCCGGA